rnacentral:lncRNA from 1 species
GGGGGAUAUGGGGUCCCAAUGGGGGGAUAUGGUGGUCCCAGGGCUUAGUGGUGGGUCCUAGGGUUAAUAUGGGGUCCAGGGGUAAAUAAGAGCGCGGAGGGCAGGGAAGGGGUCCCACGGUGGUCCCAGGGGUGCUGAUAUGGGGGUCUCAGGGGGGAUAUGGGGGCCUGGAUAUGGGGGUCCCAUGGCGGAAUAUGGGGGUCCCAUGGGUGCAUGCUAUGGGGUCCCAGGGGGAAUAUGGGAGUCCCAGGGGGGUCCCAAGGGGGAUAUGGGGGUCCCAGGGUGAUAUGGGGGUCCCAGGGGGGUUCCCAGGGGGUGCUGCUAUGGGGGGGGCAUCAAGGGGGUCCCAGGGGGGGAUAUGGGGUCCCAGGGGGGUCCCAGGGUGAUAUGAGGUCCCAAGGGGGUCCUAGGAAGCAAUAUGAGGGUCCCAAGGGUUGAUUAUGGGGGUCCCA